rnacentral:rRNA from 1 species
AUAGCGGGAAGGUCACACCUGUUCCCAUACCGAACACAGUAGUUAAGCUUCCCAGCGCUGAUGAUACUUGGCGGGUGACUGCCCGGGAAAGGAUGACGUCGCCGGAA